GCGGGGAUUCCCAAGCUUGGUCAAAGGGGCAGGACUUAGAAUCCUGUUGCGCAGGCAUUCGCCGGUUCAAAUCCGGCUCCCCGCA
rnacentral:tRNA from 1 species